rnacentral:ncRNA from 1 species
UAAGUGAUAGUGAAGAGUACCGUGAGGGAAAUGUUUGAAUUAGUAAUUUUCAAAGCAGCUCGAAAAAGAAAUAAAAUAAAAUGAGAGCGUACCUUUUGCAUAAUGGGUCAGCAAGUUAAUGUUAGAUGCGAGACAAUAUAAAGUCGAAGAUAAACCGAUUCUGAAAGAAUGAGAAGUAUCUAAUAUUAGACCCGAAGACUAGUGAUCUUAUCAUGAUCAGGAUUAUAAA